rnacentral:other from 1 species
CGGAUACUGUCCUGUUAGUGAUUUGUUUUUCCCCGGGGCGAUAAUCAUUCCGAAGGGAGCUGCCUCUGGCCGGAUCGUGGUCCGGUUACGCGGUGCCCACCUAUAUUUAUAGGUUCCGGAGGAUGUAACUAAAAUUACGGCUGUGAUGGUUCCGC